rnacentral:rRNA from 1 species
GACAGAGGGUGCAAACGUUGCUCGGAAUUACUGGGCGUAAAGCGCGUGUAGGCUGACCGGAAAGUCGGGCGUGAAAUCCCUCGGCUUAACCGGGGAACUGCGUCUGAUACUGGAUGGCUUGAGAUUGGGAGAGGGAUGCGGAAUUCCAGGUGUAGCGGUGAAAUGCGUAGAUAUCUGGAGGAACACCGGUGGCGAAGGCGGCAUCCUGGACCGGCAUUGACGCUGAGGCGCGAAAGCCAGGGGAGCAAACGGG